rnacentral:rRNA from 1 species
UCCGGUGAUUUGAGCGGCUUGGAACCACUCCUUCCCAUUCCGAACAGGGAUGUGAAACGAGCCAGCGCCGACAAUACUUGAGGGGCAACCCUCUGGGAAAAUAGGUCAUCGCCGGGG